rnacentral:rRNA from 1 species
UGGCGAACGGGUGAGUAACGCGUGAGGAACCUGCCUCAAAGAGGGGGGACGAACAGUUGGAAACGACUGCUAAUACCGCAUAAGCCCACGGGUCGGCAUCGACCAGAGGGAAAAGGAAGCAAUCCGCUUUUGAGAUGGCCUCGCGUCCGAUUAGCUAGCUGGUGAGGUAAUGGCCCACCAAGGCAACGAUCGGUAGCCGGACUGAGAGGUUGAACGGCCACAUUGGGACUGAGACACGGCCCAAACUCCUACGGGAGGCAGCAUG